rnacentral:tRNA from 1 species
GGGGGUCUAGCUCAGAUGGUAGAGCGCUCGCUUAGCAUGCGAGAGGCACUGGAUCGAUACCCAGGUCCUCCA